AUUUUGGAAAACUUUUAGCUAUGAGAGUUUUAUAAAUUAUAGUUAUGUGCUUAUGUCAUAUUUGAUAAGUGUCGAUAAUUUAAGAGAAACAGACAGAUUUACGCGUCUAAAAUCUAAUGAUUAAUUGCCUGGAUGAAACAUGAGAUGGCUCCAAACUCAAACAUAAAACAAAGAAAGUUAGGUAGGUAUUAAAAACUAUAUUUAAAAGAUUUAGAAUGUAUUUUAUUUUUUUGAAAAAAACAGUCUUUACUUAGCAGGCAGCAUUCUACAUGAUCUAAGUUCACUUACUUUAAAUGUAUUUUUGAAGUUUAAACAAAAUUAAAUCUCUAAUUUUUGACUAAAAACGACUUUAAAAUUUCAUUGGUGUAGUCAUAUACAAAUCUUCCUUAUGGCUAGAAAAAUAUAGAGCAGACUUCAUUUUAAUUUUAAACUAUUUCAAACUACACAGGAAAUUCAUGGCAAAAUAAUAUUUAGAUUUAUGUUCCUACUUCAAAGAUUUACAAAUUUUAGUAUGUUGUUUUAUUUAUUCCAAACAAUUAAGGGGGGAAACACACAGAUUUUCCUCUGACUGCAGAAUAGAGUCCUGUCCUCUAGUUGGUUGCACAUCUUUCAUAUCUGCAUUAUCAUAGUUUAGUCCAUUAUAUGUCAGAAGCUGUUAAAAAAUGAGACAUCACAUGUAAAAUUCCUAGUUAGCCCACUUAAAAUUCAUCUUAAAAUCAAAGAGGGGGGAAUGAUUGCGAUGCAUUCUUCCUUUAUGUAUAGAAUUUGGUAACUAUUGUGGUAAGAUAUUGAAAGAGUUUUCUUCUGGUCUCCACUAACUUGGAUGGCAGAUACUGAGAAAGCCUACAUCUUUCUUCUCUUUCUGUGGAGCCUGUGCAAGUCAAUACUUUAUACUGUGUCUUCAUGUUGCCUAAGGUGUGGGUAACAAGGCUAUGACAUCAUGUUUUAGCAUCCUGUUUACCACAUUCCCCUGCUUUUAUAAAGGACCAUUUAUUAGAGUCAUCUCCUUGCAUCAACGGACUCACCUUCCACACUCCACAAGCCGUUUGUAAUGAUGCUUUAUUUUAAAAUACUCUGACAAACUCUUAGAACUAUACUCAGCUUGGUAUUUGAAGGAAAUUCAGUAAAUACUGCCAUGGAAAGGAAUACUAACAUUUGCAUUAUAUUUUGGUUUCUUCUUUUUGAGUUACGUGCUGACCUUUAAGAGAAGAAAUGAAUGCAUUUCUGAAAAUUUUUCCCAUUUGUAUGUGUUAUCAGAGAUUUGCAUUAACCGUAUGGUGGUACUUUCUGACACAGACUUGUCAGGGAUCUUUCUGCACCUAGCCAUUAGAGCAUAAACCUGCGUCAUCACUUAAUGUCUUCUCUUAUACAAAAUCUAAGGAGAACAUUAAUACACAUAGGGAAGAUGAAUUGGUUUCUUUUGUAGAUUCCCUAGUAAAUAAACUACAUGGGAAAAAGUACAUGAGGACAUAUCUGUAGUAAUUUACAACUUAAGCCCAAAAAUCUUAACACUUAUAUGGAACAGACAUAUAACUGAGGUACCUGGCUCAGAUACUUAAGGUGGGUGUUUGUGCAGACUGUAUUUGGUGUCCAUUUAUAAACUGCAUGUUAUCACAACAUUGGGUAAUUAGUAUCCAGUAAUAAAUUUUGACUCAAGACAAUGGCCUCACAUGACCCAGAGAAGAAAAUGAGGCAUAUGAAAGGCUCCAUUCUUUUCUAUCUUCUAUUCUAUUCAGGGUUUAUCACAAGCUUAUAAUCACUGAUUUUAUUUAUGCGAGAUGUGCAGGAUAAUACAGUGUUUCUUUUAAAAGCAUAUUAUUGAUGCACAACAAAUCUUAGAUUAUUUUAGGUACAUUUUAUAGAUAAAACCAUUUAGUCAAACAUCACUUUUUUAUUAUACAGUACAUUAAAAAGUAUAGACAUCGGCUCUCAUCUUAUUUUAUCCUAAGACUUACAAAUGUAUGUGCUAUCAUUUCAAUGAGGUUUUUCUUUUGUUUGUUAUCUUUGGCUACUCAUAUUCAUUAGCUACCAGUACUCUUCCACUGCAGAUAAUUACAUAGUCAGUGUCACACACACACACACACCCUGGUUAAUUCAUUAACAGUUUUUCAGAAUCCUCAUGUCUGGUUCUCAUUAUGCUUAUUCAACAACUAAGAAACACCUUGGUUAAGGACCACGAAAGGUUGUUUCUUUGGAAAUGCUGACUCUCUAUGGACCUGGAUGGUGUAGUGAUUCCCUAUGGACCUCUUGUUUCCUAUCAGUGAAUGACAACGACUGAGCUAGAUCUCCAAGAUGUUUACAAAUCUCUAGGCUAGUACAGUUAGACCUCUCACUGUCUGAUGACUUCCCAGCUCUCAAAAUAAUCUAUAUGUUAUACAAAUAUUCUAUCCUUUUUAAAUACAGACUCACAUUUAUAUAAUAUUGUCUGCUUUCAUUUAUUUUGCUCUUAAACAUGUCACUGGACUGUAGGUGUCUUCUGGGGAGCAUCUUUCCUUGACCCUACUGCUUUCCUGAGAAUGUGUGUCAUCUGUGAAAAUAUCUAUUUUGUUGAUGAAGUGAUGAAAACUUGUCACUCACAGGUAAAGAUUCUGUUGAGAAGGAAUCCCUCUCCAGAACUCUCUGAUCAUCUGGGAAUACUCAGUAGCAUUGCAGGGAGGGACAGUGCUUAACUGCUAUCAUUGGGAAGUCAUGGUUUGACCCAGGGCUUCCCAGGUGCUGAAUUACAUGGUAAUAGGAAGAAUCAAAUAAUGAAUAUUUUCUCAAUGUAUUAUGAAAUGUACGAGGUUUUAAUUUUGGCACUGGCACUAUUUUUAUUAUAGGGAAGCUAGUCCUUGAGUGAAUGAUGAGAACUUUGCCAAGUUUUUACUGUGAAUUUUUGCAAAUGGGAACUUGCUCAAAUUCCUUGUUUGUGAGCAGCUUGCCUUGUAAAGUCUGUUAGUUCAGACUAUGUGUGAGGUCACCCAACUUAACAGCAGUAAUGGACAAAAUGACCACGGAGAUUUGAACUUAGAGUUUCAGGUGUCAGACAUAGAAAUAGUUUCAGAAUCAGGACCGCAGCAUGAGUAAUGGGAGCUCAUGGAGAAAAAUAUUAUACCAAGUGAUUUCAAUAGUGAUUUUCAUAUUCAUUUCAGUAGUCCUCAAGACAUAAAAGCUUUAACUGUGUUGAAAUUAUUUUUCUAGUGCGGUCCAUAUAAAAGAUUUAAUUUGUUCCUUUAAGACAUGAUAAUCAAACAACCACUCAAAACAUGCCAUGAAUCUGACAGCCACAAAUGUCUUACAAUCUAUUUGCGUGCCCAAACUAUCUCUGCUUCUAAAGUAGUCGACAAACAUAGAAAAGAUGCAAAUUGAAUGGCUUUUGUAAAAACUCAGAUGCACAUGAGACAUCGUCAAUGGUUACAUUUGGGCUGGCAUCCCAUUACUUCUGUCACUUUUGAGUGUAUAGGUCUUAAUCCUCUUACAAGACAUUUGUAAAUGGGAUGUUAAGCUAAAGAAAGAACCAAAUUGGACUAGAAACUGCCAAUGCCUAUUAAAGUGUGCAUAAAAUGCAACAAUCUGUUAAUCAAAGUAAGAGUUCAUAUUUUAUAAGGUCAGUCAUUUAGAGUAAAAAUUCAGAAUUUAAGAGAUUUAGUUAGUGAAAUGUGCAACAUUAUUUUCUAUAAAAAAAAUCAAGAGAUUACUAGAGGGUUAAAAAAUUGAAUCUGAGCUGUGGGGUGGUGGCGCUUGCCUUUUAUUUCAUCACUCGGGGGGCAGAGGCAGACAGAUCUCUGAGUUCGAGGCCAAUCUGGUCUACAGAGUGAGUUCUUGGACAUCCAGGGCUACACAGAGAAACGGCUUCUCAAACCACCGUGUCCCCAAAAAUCUGGGGAUGGAGCGAUGACUCAGUCGUUAAAAGCAGGUAAGACUCUCAUAGAGGACUCAAGUUUGAUUCCCAGCACCACACACUUCCAGGAUCCUCACUUAAGAAAAUCUUCUUUGGUAUUGGUUUGGGCAAUUUCUAGGGAACAUGACGAAUCUGUCUGUCUACCUCAAAUAUCAUUAAAGUUAAUUACAACUGAGGAAAAGACAAAAUAAGCCACUCUUUAUGAGCAGAGUAUAUAAAAGUAGAGAGAUAGUGAUGGUAAGAUUGAUAGAAUGCAGGAGUUCAACAGUUAAAACAAGGGUCUAAGAACAAUAGCAAGUUUCAAAGCAACAGAGAGCAAUGACUCAUUGAUGAUGGUCUGCUGACCAGUUUCCCCAACUCAAUAACCCUAUGUGCACUGAGAAUCAUCCUCCACAUUAUUUUAUGGUACUUGUGUAAUGCUAGGACUUACAGAUGCUUAAUUCCUCUUGUCAACCUUACCAAUUUCAAUGAUUUGGCCUAUGUUCAAAGAGAAGAGUCUUGAGAGUGUCUUUUCUUGACAUUUCAGACCAUUUAGGAUUGUAUAGGUGUGUAAGCUAUCUGUCUUCAAACUUCAGGUUUCUACAAAUGAAAUGUCACAUAAACAUAAAGAAUAUUGAUUUAUUCCUUAAACUUUGACAAAGAAACCCAUGAACAUAACAGCAUGGGACUGACCAAAGAUUCUGCAGUGUGUUCAUUAAAUUACCCAGAAUCAAGAGUUUUCAGAAGGAAAAUGUUCAAGCAUAAACUUAACUUGUUUCCUCCAGGGAACAAGCUGAUUUUAGUUACAGUGUCACGUCUUAAAGCUUUUAGUUGAACACUUAGUAAGUCCCGAGGGAAGUCUUAUGUGUCUCAUCGAAUUUCUGAGUAACCCAAAAUUUGUUAGAAAAAAGUUAAAUCAAAGAAAAUCAAGAGACUUGAAAAUUCUAUAUUCCUAGUUACAUAUUCUAGCUCCUAAAAUCUCCAUGAAACCUCUAGAGAGAAUAUUGUCAACAUAUUUUUCAGAUAAUAAGAACAUGAAUUAUAUAUAUAUACAAUAUAUAUAAUUCCCAUUAUAUAUAUAUUCCCACUGCCUUACCCAGAACUGAUGCUCAAUAUUUUUUAUUGAGUCAUGUGCUUAGAGAUUCAGCUUGGCCCUUUUCCUUUUGAAAGGAUUUUAGUGGUUCCAUUCAUUUGAAUGGAACAAACUAUGAGAUGGACCUCAGGGCUACUGUGAAUGACUUAUAGAGAAGCAAUACAGAUGUAAAAUUUGUAAACAUUUCUAAUAGAGGCAUUACAUCGGUUUAGAUGGAAUUAUAGAAGAUAACAUAUUGAGUAGGUAAAGGAGAUUUAAAAAACGAGAAACUGUUAAACUGUGAAGAAAAUUGACGGGGUAUCACACAGGCUCCUAGAACAAAUAAAUAUAACUGCUUUAAAAAUAAACUGUAUAUUUAGAACCAGAGAAAGAAUAAGACAUUGCCUUCUCCUUUGUACCCCUGGUGUACCCCAGGUAUCAACAGGUAGGCCCAGUGCAAUGAUCAAAAGAAAUUAGUCAUUAAACAAAAUCAAGAGUUGUGAAUCUGGGAAAGGGACAGAUGGGUAGAGGCAAGGGGACAGGAUCAGAAAGACAAAAGAGAGGGAUGAGGGAGGGAAGAACUACAAGAAUGAAUUGCAUAUACCUAUGAAAUUGUCAAAAAAACUAACAAUAAAAAAAAAAAGACUGGUAUAUUGUCUGCACUGGCCAAACAUUGUUAUGGUGUGUAUCAAGAGAGAUUAGUAUACAGAAAUAUUAUCAAGUAAAGUAAUUUGGCUUUUCUGUGAUGUCUAAACACAUCCCUUCUCAGUCUUCCCUGGAUUGGAACUCAUUAGACAUCUAUCUGACCUGAACAUCCAAGUAUUGAUGAGCCAUGAUAAUAUGACAUAAAGCUACAUCCUUCUUAGAAUUAAUGCCAACUUGAACUUUAAAAGGCAUUACUGGUUUGAUGUUCUCCUCAUCUCACUGUGACUGAAAAUAAAAACAGAAGAAAGCUAGUCAUUUAGAUGCAUAGGUAGGAGUCUCUCACCUCUGGUUCUAGUCUGAGCCCUUAGGUAUUACAGCAUCUGGGAAUUAUAAGCUAGGCACUGUCUUUAAGUUGCUCAAUGGGAUUUAUCUGAAGAAAGUGUAUGUCUAUAUACAUAUAUAUGAUUCACUUAUAUACUUUUAUACACAUAUUUACUUAUAUAUGCAUAUGUACUUAUAUAUACUUACACACACACACACAUCUAGUAACGACUUAAAGAGUAUCUAAUAGUAUGGGACAUGUGCCUGCAUGCUGUGAUGUGGACUUAAAGGAUGCCUGAUUAUUGCAGAUGUGGAAACAGCAGCGAAGAAAUGAGUUCUUUUUAGGAACUAUGGUCCUUCUUGUCAAAAUAGACUGCUAGAUGCCACCUCCUGUUCUCUUCAGUGGGAUUUUUUUCAAAGAUAAUGCUUGCAACCAAAUGAGCUCAUAUACCCUUAUGUCCUUUGUGCUUCCCUAUAUGAAUAAUUUUAAGAAAACACAGUCAAGAAGUUGACAACUUUACACCCAUCAUUCUGGUAAUUUCUGUCAUGAAUUUCGAUUACUAGUUUCUAUUCUCACUCUCUGGGUUUUUAGUCAUUAGGAUUUUUUUUGUCAUUUUGUUUUGUUUUGUUGCAUGUGUGUGUAUGAGUGUGUGUAUGCAUAUAUGUAUGUGUACAUGUGUGUGUAUGUAUAUAUGUUGUGUGUAUGCAUGUGUGUAUGUAUGUAUGUGUCUGUAUUCGUGUGUGUGUGUGUAUGAAGGGGAUGUAUUCAUGUGAGUGCAGGUAUCCAUGAAAGGCUAGAAACAUCAGAUCCUCUAGAGCUGGAUUUAUAAGCAGUUUUAAUUCAUCCAAUGUGAAUCCCUACAAAGUUUUUGAGCUAAGACAGUUUCCAAGCUAAAACACACAAAAUUAUUUUAUAAAGAAAAUAAAAGUUAGGCUGGCAGCAAACAAAUGAGUUGUGGGCCAGUUGUGGGCGUUCUGACUGGGGAAGGGGCAUAGAGCUCCCAGGGCAUUCAGAAAUGAAGUCGGCAUAGCGAAUAGGUCAUAGAGAGAUUCAGGUGCACAUGCUAGCCUUACAGUGCCAUGAGACGCAUUCUCUGUGGGUCUGCACGUUUCUCUCAUUUCUGUGGCAGUGACACUUCAGUAGGUUUCCCAAUAGCAAUCAUAACAGGCACAAUGAUGUGCUCUCUGGAGUGUGUUCUCCCUUUCUGACAACAUAGCUGAUUUUCCCUAAUGAGCCUUUUGUUGUCAAUGUGGCUUUUUACUAGCUAUUGCUGAACUACUGUUAGGUCUUUGUGUCCUCGGAUUAUGUCCUUAAUGUAUUGCUGCAUUUCUUUGCCUCAGUGCAAACAAUUUCAAGAGACUUGACUACCUGGCAAAGCCUUUAUGUGAAUGGGUAGCAAAUGCUUUUAUGGGAUGGAGGCUUCCUUUACUGAGAGAUUAAUGAAAAAAUAAGAUUUUUUUUUUUAAUUAAAUGCUGGGACUUGAACCCAAAGCCUUGCAUGUGCAAGUGGGGCUGUGCCUAUAAAAGGAGAAUUGUAUUUUUCUCUUCCUUUUGAUGGGUUUUGUUUUGUUUUGUGCUUGUCUUGUUAAAGAGAAAUGCUACCUCUAGAUUACUGAAAACACUCAAGGAAGAAGUGAAGAUAUCUUCGUAUACGAUGAGGGAAGGAAUCAAUCUCCACCCUGAUUCCUGAUGUGGUUUGAAAUAAUAAAGGAUUCAAAUAUUUUGAAAUAAUAGCAUUUACAAAAAUUAGUAAAGCACAAGAAAAAGAAAGUAAUCAAAGUUAUUUGUUUAUAGUCAAGUUUAAAUUGCCUA
rnacentral:lncRNA from 1 species